UGUUGAUAGAACAAGUUUGCUUGGCUUGAAAAAUUAUCGCAUCAGGAAAUGCAACUCAUGCAUGUCAUGAGCUCGGUACAAAGGGCAAAAUUCCAAGAAAGGACGCCGUGCAAAAAUGUAUCCGCCAUUUGGACCAUGAAAAACAAAGUUUCCAGACAUGGUAUAGACGCGAGAAGCUCUCGCGUGUUUAACUAAACACGCUUGAAGCUCUUGCGUGUUUUAACUAAACACGCAUCAGGCUAUCGCGUGUUUAACUAAACACGCGACACGCUCUCGCGUGUUUCGGGUAGACACAAAUUCCAGCCCAAACGGCAGAGACCUCACUUUCCACUCGCGAAUUCACUUCCAGCUCGCUCAAUCUCUCACUCUCAGCGACGGCCAACGUUUCUAGCCGGCGAAAAUCGAAGUGAAUCCGUGAUUUUGUUGCUCUAAUUCCUAUUUUAAGUGGUGUUAGGUUUAAUGGUGUUUGUGAGUUUAUAUUGGGAUGGGAAAAUUAUUCAACUCCCAGGUUUGGGUGUUGCUUAUGAUCCCCCUCGUGCAAAUUCAUUUAUUAUAUUGAAUGAAAAGAUAUCAUAUUA